rnacentral:rRNA from 1 species
GACGAACGCUGGCGGCGGGCUUAACACAUGCAAGUCGAACGGCAAGGCACUGCGAUUGUGGGGUUCUCGAGUGGCGAUCGGGUGAGUAACACGUGAGUAACCUGCCCUUGACUUUGGGAUAACUUCAGGAAACUGGGGCUAAUAUCAGAUAGGAUCCCCUGCUGCAUGGUGGGGGGUGGAAAUUUUCGGCUGUUGGGGAUGGAUUAGCGGCUUAUCAGCUUGUUGGUUGGGUGGUGGCUUACCAAGGCUUUGGCGGGUAGCCGGCCUGAGAGGGUGGCCGGCCACCAUGCUCCUGCGAUACGGCGCAGACGCCUAUGGGAGGCAACAGUGGGGAAUAUGGCACAAUCGGCCGACGCGUGAUGCAGCAACGCUGCGUUCGUGAUGCCGGCUUUCUGGUUGAGAACCGCAUUCGCUUGAUACGCAGCGGGAGUGACGGUAAUGGGUAAAGAAGCACCGGCUAACUACGUG